AUACGGAGGAUCCGAGCGUUAUCCGGAUUUAUUGGGUUUAAAGGGUGCGCAGGCGGCCAUUUAAGUCAGCGGUUAAAUCGUGGGGCUCAACCCCAUUCUGCCGUUGAUACUGGGUGGCUUGAUUGCGGUCGAGGUUGGCGGAAUUCGUUGUGUAGCGGUGAAAUGCAUAGAUAUGACGAAGAACACCGAUUGCGUAGGCAGCUGACCAGACCGCAAAUGACGCUCAUGCACGAAAGUGCGGGAAUCGAACAGGAUUAGAUACCCUGGUAGUCCGCACAGUAAACGAUGAAUACUUGUUUUCGGCGAUAUAAUGUCGGAGGCAAAGCGAAAGCGAUAAGUAUUCCACCUGGGGAGUACGCCGGCAACGGUGAAACUCAAAUGAAUUGACGGGG
rnacentral:rRNA from 1 species